GGGGAUAACUACUGGAAACGGUAGCUAAUACCGCAUAACGUCGCAAGACCAAAGAGGGGGACCUUCGGGCCUCUUGCCAUCGGAUGUGCCCAGAUGGGAUUAGCUAGUAGGUGGGGUAACGGCUCACCUAGGCGACGAUCCCUAGCUGGUCUGAGAGGAUGACCAGCCACACUGGAACUGAGACACGGUCCAGACUCCUACGGGAGGCAGCAGUGGGGAAUAUUGCACAAUGGGCGCAAGCCUGAUGCAGCCAUGCCGCGUGUAUGAAGAAGGCCUUCGGGUUGUAAAGUACUUUCAGCGGGGAGGAAGGGAGUAAAGUUAAUACCUUUGCUCAUUGACGUUACCCGCAGAAGAAGCACCGGCUAACUCCGUGCCAGCAGCCGCGGUAAUACGGAGGGUGCAAGCGUUAAUCGGAAUUACUGGGCGUAAAGCGCACGCAGGCGGUUUGUUAAGUCAGGUGUGAAAUCCCCGGGCUCAACCUGGGAACUGCAUCUGAUACUGGCAAGCUUGAGUCUCGUAGAGGGGGGUAGAAUUCCAGGUGUAGCGGUGAAAUGCGUAGAGAUCUGGAGGAAUACCGGUGGCGAAGGCGGCCCCCUGGACGAAGACUGACGCUCAGGUGCGAAAGCGUGGGGAGCAAACAGGAUUAGAUACCCU
rnacentral:rRNA from 1 species